AUGCCCGAUGAUUAUAAAAGACGCGUUAUUAUGAGGACCAAUGCUGGAACUCCCUCCCUACCUUCUGCCUCUUAACUUUUUUCUCUUUUCUCUCUUUCCGCCUGCCCCUUUUCCUCCUCUUCCUUCUCCCCUCCCCCGGGAGUCUCCAGUGUCCUAUGAACAAGAUUAUGAGAUAUGAGGGCAA
rnacentral:snoRNA from 1 species